UACGUAGGGUGCAAGCGUUGUCCGGAAUUAUUGGGCGUAAAGAGCUCGUAGGCGGUCUGUCGCGUCGAAUGUGAAAACCCGGGACUCAACUCCGGGCCUGCAUUCGAUACGGGCAGACUAGAGUUCGGUAGGGGAGACUGGAAUUCCUGGUGUAGCGGUGAAAUGCGCAGAUAUCAGGAGGAACACCGGUGGCGAAGGCGGGAUCCUGGGCCAGUACUGACGCUGAGGAGCGAAAGCGUGGGGAGCAAACAGG
rnacentral:rRNA from 1 species